rnacentral:rRNA from 1 species
AGAGUUUGAUCCUGGCUCAGAACGAACGCUGGCGGCGCGUUUUAAGCAUGCAAGUCGAGCGGUACCAGCAAUGGGAAAGCGGCGGACGGGUGAGUAACACGUGGGUAAUCUGCCCUCCAGUCGGGGAUAGCCUGUGGAAACACAGGAUAAUACCGGAUUCGUUCGGGACCACACAAGUGGACCCGAGGAAAGGCGCCAAGGCGCCGCUGGGGGAUGAGCCCGCGCCCCUUUAKCUAGAUGGUGAGGUAAAGGCCCWCCAUGGYGAUGAUGGGUAGCCGGCCUGAGAGGGUGAACGGCCACAUUGGAACUGAGACACGGUCCAGACUCCUACGGGAGGCAGCAGCUAAGAAUCUUCCACAAUGGACGAAAGUCUGAUGGAGCGACGCCGCGUGAACGAUGAAGGCCGUGAGGUUGUAAAGUUCUUUUCUGGAGGGGGAAUAAGGAUGGCAGGGAAAUGGCCGUCCGAUGACGUGAAUCCAGGAAUAARCCCCGGCUAACUACGUGCCAGCAGCCGCGGUAACMCGUAAGGGGCGAGCGUUGUUCGGAAUCWUUGGGCGUAAAGGGUGCGCAGGCGCCUGGCAAGUCUUGGUGUAAAAUGGUUUGUGCYUCAACACAUUCAUGCGCUGGAAACUGCUUGGGCUUGRGUCACGAGGGGAKKYCGGAAUUCCAGKKGUWAGGGKKGAAUCUKGUAGAWUCYUGGAAGAACMYCAAUGGCG